rnacentral:rRNA from 1 species
UACGUAGGGGGGCAAGCGUUGUCCGGAAUCAUUGGGCGUAAAGCGCGUGUAGGCGGCCCGGUAAGUCCGCUGUGAAAGUCGGGGGCUCAACCCUCGAAAGCCGGUGGAUACUGUCGGGCUCGAGUACGGGAGAGGCGAGUGGAAUUCCUGGUGUAGCGGUGAAAUGCGCAGAUAUCAGGAGGAACACCGAUUGCGAAGGCAGCUCGCUGGAACGUUACUGACGCUGAGACGCGAAAGCGUGGGGAGCAAACAGG